GAAUUGGGUGCAUAGCCCAUGUAUUGAGCUCAUUUGCUAAUCAACUUUGUGAACAGGGAGGUGUAUGAUGAGUACAAGGUGCAAACAACAAAAAAACUUGGGAUGGAAUUAAGAGGGCAAAAGAGACAUAACUUAAACUUGAGCACGCGAUUCACGUGUUAAACGCCUUCCACAUGUAUCCAAGUUGAGUCAAAUGUCCAUCACUGACCUCUCCCUUUCCACCGUGCUGAAGCUCACCACCAACGUCAAUAUAUAAUCAAACGUCACAAUCGAAAAUGCCAUAUCACUCCAAGUUCCGAGCUCUAACCAAAUCCAUCACUAGUUUCAUCUGAAUCCUCAUAAAUUUCCCAAAUUGUGCAAAAUAAAUGAUGAACCAUAACCACAAGAAUUUAAAUUAAAUGCUUAAUCAGAGGAAUCAAAGUCCCUAAGGUUAAGGCUUUGAUUCCUUGGAUCCAUACACUACAUGGUGGUAACUAGAACUAAGUUUAAAGGUGAAGAAAUGGCACCUACCUGCGGGAGAUGAAAGCCUGAGAUCGGAGUAAAUAAAGAUGUUAAGCAAGCUUUUAGGAAACUUAUUGAACUGGAGUUAUAUGGAAAGGAUAUGGGUUGCAAAAAGGUGAUGGCAUGCCAAACGAGUUUUGGUUCAAAUGCAGGUCGUGUUGGUUUGAUCAGUUGCUUGGCAAACAUGGUGAUGACCUGUUGAUGUAGGUUGCAGGUAAAAUGCCAAUAAGUUCCGUUUGACUGAUUGGCAAAUUACAGGCUUGUAUGAUGCAGAUGAUGACCUAUUGAUGCAGGUUUUGAUGUAUUGUUGCAGAUUUGGGGUUGAUUGGCAAAUUGCAAGUGUAUGUUUGAGUUGUUUUGAUCAGUGCAAAUUGCUUAAUUUGCAGGUUAUACGUUAUGGGAUUGACAACUAAGAAUCCAUCAUAAAGACCUGCUUGAAAGGGUUGGCAUGUGAACAUGACUUCAAGGUAUCGCAAGACAUGGCAAUUUGAAUGUCAAAAACAAGGCUUAGCACAAAGAUGGUUUUCUUGCUCAUGAAGGAAUUUGGUAAUAGAAUCACAUGGAAACAUGGGAAGUGAUAUGUAUUUCAAGUAGGCAUUAGGGUUAGGUCAUUAGAAUAUGUCAGUUGAAUUUGGCCAACUGCUUGACCAAAAAGUCAACAGUUGACCAAAAGUCAAAUGUAGGUCAACUCUAUAUUUUUUUUGUAUUUUUAUUGCAUGGAUAAUGUAAAUGAUAAUUGAAUGAGUGAAUAGACAUUAUUGGAUGAAAUGAUUUAAAGAA